CAAGGACUUUGGAUUCCUUUCAUGCUGAUUUUGGUUAUCAAUUUUAGCUGUGCUUGUUGAGAAGGUUCUCCAUGGCAAUCAAUUCGUCUUACUUCCUUGCAAUUGGAUGAUUGUGCUUGAUCUCCUUUCUCCUACUUUCCCUUAGUUACUGUACUUUGGAUUCAAUCGAUAUUAAAUGGGUUGGAGAACUUGUACUGUAACUACAUUGGGUAGUGGUGGUAGUGAUAUCACUGCCAUUGGUAAAGCACUUGGCUUUUGGGAAAUCCAGGUAUGGAAAGAUGCGGAUGGUGUAUUGACAUGUGACCCUGAUAUAUACUCGGGUGCAGAACCUGUGCUGUAAUUUACUUUCGAUGAGGCAGCAGAGCUGGCGUAUUUAGUUAACUCAGUCCUACAUCCAUAGUCUAUGAGGACCGCAAGGGAGGGUAAUGUACCUGUUAGGGUUAAAAAUUCUUACGAGUUACAAUCGUAAUGCUCCGAGUACCCUUAUCACUAAAUCUGAGCAAGGUUGGCAGUACUGUACUCCUGACAAGAGACAACUUUAAAUGCCAGCUAUUCCUUGCUAAGGUGUUUUAAAUUUUUGAGGAUCUUGGCAUCUCUGUGGAUGUUGUUGCUACGAGUGAAGUUGCAUUUCAGUUACAUUAGAUCCUUCAAAGUUUUGGAGCGGGAAGUUGAUUGA